rnacentral:misc_RNA from 1 species
AAAUAACUUGAAUAUAAAUAGGAGUAUGUACAAAGAAUUUCAUAUAUGAAAAAUACAGAGAUUUCUCUCAAAUACAUUAAUUCCAACAUUGCUUUUGUAUUUCUUCCCUUUCCACUAAUAGAUAUUUGGGUUGGGUGUCCUUGCACUCAGCUAUAAAUCCAAGUUGAGUUUGAGUUACGGGUUGCAAAAAACCUUCCCAUCGUAUCCAUCCGCCUCUUGUCUGAUAGUCACUAUUCCGUUG